GAAAGAAGAAGGAGGGCCCGAGGGAGGGAAAUGGCGGAGGAGGCCCUUAAAGGAGGAGCUUCUUCAUCACACACAAUAAAUGAACCGAAAACGAGACCAAAGAACCGAAGAUCCAUCGUUGGCCAGGUAUAGGAUGCCAAAAUGAACCGGAGGCUGCCUUAGGGCUGCCUGUUGCCCAUUCUGACUUCAAAACAUUGGACCUUUGGGUGUUUUUUGCUGUAAUGGAUUAAACACAGCUGGACGUCUCAACGUUUCCAAAUUCACUACACAGAUGCAUAAAACAUCCUCCGGAAAGCAGAUGCCUUCGCAUGGCUAUCCUGUGUUCUGGAUUUUCCAAUGUAAAACCAAACAGAUGUCCAGAGGGGGAAUCACAGCUUUCUGCAGCCUCACCCACUCCUUCACACUUGGAAAGACAAGCCGGUGGGUCCUAGAGCAAACCAAGCCUGAGCUCUCCCUAGAAGCCAAGAUGACUAAGCUGAGAUGGUCAUACUUUGGACAGAUCAUGAGAAGAAAGGGCUUCCUAGAAAAGAAUAAUGCUUGAUGAAAAGAAGAAGGCAGUAGGAAAAGAAGAAGACCUCAUUCCAGAUGGAUCAAUUAAAUCAAGGAAGCCAUGGCUGCCCUCAGUUUGCAGGACCUGAGCAGGGCAGUCGAUGACAAGGAAUCCCAGGAAUUUCUCUAAAGAACUGAGUUGAUGACAACCUGAAAAGAAAAAGGACGACCUUUGGCUCCAGCAGGCGUUGGCAGGAUCUCCACAAGGGUGAUACUGAAAUGCCUCCGAAACCUGGCAGAAGCAUGAAGCGAAGAAGGGGAAAGGUGUCUUCCUGGGAAAUCACUUCCACCAUACCCAGCAUAUUUUCGAUACCUCCCUAAGAAGGAAGGAAUGUGAGAUGCAGAAUGAAAAGAGUGGUGCAUUUCUGUUGUUAGUAACCCCGUACGUCAUGGGCGUCUCUUUGGUUAUGGACAAAUAUAUGAGAGCCACAUAAUCUAAUCUUGUUGGUAAUGUUUCCAGAAGACGCUGUUCCUUGCAGCCAACGGAUGACAUCAAGACCUUUUUAAUCUAUCGUGCCACAUGUUAUCUAAGGAUGACAUUUCCAUGGAAGAUGGAAAUACAGAUGAAGGCAUCAUUGGCGCUCCCUCCGAGGCACGCCGAGUCCCACCUCCAACUACAAAUCCCUGGAUUUUGGAGGACAGAGUCGUGAGAUUUAAAGUGGUAUAAAGCGGAUAGAACUGUGCCAUGUGGGUUCGGUUAUUUGUUUCUUUAGGGUGCAUCUACACUGUGGAAAUAAUGCAGUUUUGAUGCCAUUUUAUCUGCCAUGGCUCCAUCCUACAGGAUCCUGGGAUUUUUAGUUUGUGGAGGAACCCGCACUCUUUGGCAGAGAAAGCUUUUAAAACGACAAAUCCCAGAAUCCCAUAGGAGCAGGUCCCUUUCUUAGUAAACAAUUGGGCAGGAUAUACUGUAUAU